CAGCCCAGAGCCUGAAUCAGUGUGUGUGUUAGUGGAAGCGUCUGGAAAGGCGCGCGAUACAGGGUGACAGCCCCGUACACAAAAAUGCACAUGCUGUGAGCUCGAUGAGUAGGGCGGGACACGUGGUAUCCUGUCUGAAUAUGGGGGGACCAUCCUCCAAGGCUAAAUACUCCUGACUGACCGAUAGUGAACCAGUACCGUGAGGGAAAGGCGAAAAGAACCCCGGCGAGGGGAGUGAAAAAGAACCUGAAACCGUGUACGUACAAGCAGUGGGAGCACGCUUAGGCGUGUGACUGCGUACCUUUUGUAUAAUGGGUCAGCGACUUAUAUUCUGUAGCAAGGUUAACCGAAUAGGGGAGCCGAAGGGAAACCGAGUCUUAACUGGGCGUUAAGUUGCAGGGUAUAGACCCGAAACCCGGUGAUCUAGCCAUGGGCAGGUUGAAGGUUGGGUAACACUAACUGGAGGACCGAACCGACUAAUGUUGAAAAAUUAGCGGAUGACUUGUGGCUGGGGGUGAAAGGCCAAUCAAACCGGGAGAUAGCUGGUUCUCCCCGAAAGCUAUUUAGGUAGCGCCUCGUGAAUUCAUCUCCGGGGGUAGAGCACUGUUUCGGCAAGGGGGUCAUCCCGACUUACCAACCCGAUGCAAACUGCGAAUACCGGAGAAUGUUAUCACGGGAGACACACGGCGGGUGCUAACGUCCGUCGUGAAGAGGGAAACAACCCAGACCGCCAGCUAAGGUCCCAAAGUCAUGGUUAAGUGGGAAACGAUGUGGGAAGGCCCAGACAGCCAGGAUGUUGGCUUAGAAGCAGCCAUCAUUUAAAGAAAGCGUAAUAGCUCACUGGUCGAGUCGGCCUGCGCGGAAGAUGUAACGGGGCUAAACCAUGCACCGAAGCUGCGGCAGCGACGCUGAUGCGUUGUUGGGUAGGGGAGCGUUCUGUAAGCCUGUGAAGGUGUGCUGUGAGGCAUGCUGGAGGUAUCAGAAGUGCGAAUGCUGACAUAAGUAACGAUAAAGCGGGUGAAAAGCCCGCUCGCCGGAAGACCAAGGGUUCCUGUCCAACGUUAAUCGGGGCAGGGUGAGUCGACCCCUAAGGCGAGGCCGAAAGGCGUAGUCGAUGGGAAACAGGUUAAUAUUCCUGUACUUGGUGUUACUGCGAAGGGGGGACGGAGAAGGCUAUGUUGGCCGGGCGACGGUUGUCCCGGUUUAAGCGUGUAGGCUGGUUUUCCAGGCAAAUCCGGAAAAUCAAGGCUGAGGCGUGAUGACGAGGCACUACGGUGCUGAAGCAACAAAUGCCCUGCUUCCAGGAAAAGCCUCUAAGCAUCAGGUAACAUCAAAUCGUACCCCAAACCGACACAGGUGGUCAGGUAGAGAAUACCAAGGCGCUUGAGAGAACUCGGGUGAAGGAACUAGGCAAAAUGGUGCCGUAACUUCGGGAGAAGGCACGCUGAUAUGUAGGUGAAGCGACUUGCUCGUGGAGCUGAAAUCAGUCGAAGAUACCAGCUGGCUGCAACUGUUUAUUAAAAACACAGCACUGUGCAAACACGAAAGUGGACGUAUACGGUGUGACGCCUGCCCGGUGCCGGAAGGUUAAUUGAUGGGGUCAGCGCAAGCGAAGCUCUUGAUCGAAGCCCCGGUAAACGGCGGCCGUAACUAUAACGGUCCUAAGGUAGCGAAAUUCCUUGUCGGGUAAGUUCCGACCUGCACGAAUGGCGUAAUGAUGGCCAGGCUGUCUCCACCCGAGACUCAGUGAAAUUGAACUCGCUGUGAAGAUGCAGUGUACCCGCGGCAAGACGGAAAGACCCCGUGAACCUUUACUAUAGCUUGACACUGAACAUUGAGCCUUGAUGUGUAGGAUAGGUGGGAGGCUUUGAAGUGUGG
rnacentral:rRNA from 1 species